AUUGAACGCUGGCGGCAGGCCUAACACAUGCAAGUCGAGCGGAGCGGCGGACGGGCGAGUAAUGCCUAGGUAUCUGCCUGGUAGUGGGGGAUAACGUCCGGAAACGGGCGCUAAUACCGCAUACUAUCAGAUGAGCCUAGGUGGGAUUAGCUAGCUGGUGGGGUAAAGGCUGACCAAGGCGACGAUCCGUAACUGGUCUGAGAGGAUGAUCAGUCACACUGGAACUGAGACACGGUCCAGACGCCUACGGGAGGCAGCAGUGGGGAAUAUUGGACAAUGGGCGAAAGCCUGAUGCAGCCAUGCCGCGUGUGUGAAGAAGGUCUUCGGGUUGUAAAGCACUUUAAGUUGGGAGGCGUUACCGACAGAAGAAGCACCGGCUAACUCCGUGCCAGCAGCCGCGGUAAUAC
rnacentral:rRNA from 1 species